rnacentral:rRNA from 1 species
AUUGAACGCUGGCGGCAUGCCUUACACAUGCAAGUCGAACGGCAGCAUGAUCUAGCUUGCUAGAUUGAUGGCGAGUGGCGAACGGGUGAGUAAUACAUCGGAACGUGCCCUGUAGUGGGGGAUAACUAGUCGAAAGAUUAGCUAAUACCGCAUACGACCUGAGGGUGAAAGUGGGGGACCGCAAGGCCUCAUGCUAUAGGAGCGGCCGAUGUCUGAUUAGCUAGUUGGUGGGGUAAAGGCCCACCAAGGCGACGAUCAGUAGCUGGUCUGAGAGGACGAUCAGCCACACUGGGACUGAGACACGGCCCAGACUCCUACGGGAGGCAGCAGUGGGGAAUUUUGGACAAUGGGCGAAAGCCUGAUCCAGCAAUGCCGCGUGUGUGAAGAAGGCCUUCGGGUUGUAAAGCACUUUUGUCCGGAAAGAAAUGGCUCUGGUUAAUACCUGGGGUCGAUGACG